rnacentral:rRNA from 1 species
AUUGAACGCUGGCGGCAGGCUUAACACAUGCAAGUCGAGCGGAGCGAGGGUGCUUGCACCUUAGCUUAGCGGCGGACGGGUGAGUAACGCUUAGGAAUCUGCCUAUUAGUGGGGGACAACAUUCCGAAAGGAAUGCUAAUACCGCAUACGCCCUACGGGGGAAAGCAGGGGAUCUUCGGACCUUGCGCUAAUAGAUGAGCCUAAGUCGGAUUAGCUAGUUGGUGGGGUAAAGGCCUACCAAGGCGACGAUCUGUAGCGGGUCUGAGAGGAUGAUCCGCCACACUGGGACUGAGACACGGCCCAGACUCCUACGGGAGGCAGCAGUGGGGAAUAUUGGACAAUGGGCGGAAGCCUGAUCCAGCCAUGCCGCGUGUGUGAAGAAGGCCUUUUGGUUGUAAAGCACUUUAAGCGAGGAGGAGGCUACUUAGAUUAAUACUCUGGGAUAGUGGACGUUACUCGCAGAAUAAGCACCGGCUAACUCUGUGCCAGCCGCCGCAGUAAAAC